rnacentral:rRNA from 1 species
GCCCAAUCGUAAACCUUGAUGAUAAGCUACAAAUAUCAUCCGCCAGGGAACUACAAGCGCAUCGCUCGAAACCCAACGGACUUGGCGGUGCCCCACACCCACCUAGAGGAGCCUGUUCUAUAACUGACAAUCCCCGUUCAACCUCACCACCCCUAGCCCCUUCAGUCUAUAUACCACCGUCGUAAGCUCACCCUGUGAAGGUUAAACAGUAAGCAAGAUGGGCACAACCCAAAACGUCAGGUCGAGGUGUAACAUAUGGAGUGGAAAGAAAUGGGCUACAUUUUCUGUCUACAGAAUACCACGAACAACGGCAUGAAAUCUGCCGUUCAAAGGAGGAUUUAGCAGUAAAAAGAAAACAGAGAGUUCUUUUGAAGCCGGCCCUGGGGCGCGC